CAUGAUUAUAUCUUCGUUACAUCCCUCUCUACCUAGUGCUAUAUGAUGUCUAAAUAAAGUCACAUGCGUACAUACGCAUGUGUAAAACAAGCAAAACUUUGAAUGUUAGAAACUUUUAUGAAUGGCAGCAGAUUUAUGUUUCUUUCAUAAACACUAACAUGGUUUAACACAUUCAUAAACACAACUUUCAUAAUCAUAUUCCUUUGAGAUGUUUUAAAUUUUUGACCAUUACUGAAUUAUAAACCGGAAGAAAAUAAGGAAAAGUUAAAAGUAACAGAAAUUCUACAUGGAGUUGCGUGAAGACUGUUCUCCUAACAGUUCUGGAGUCCACGAGCAAUCAGAAGUGGAUGCCUGUCCGAAAAGAUCACGAUGUAUCAACGAGCGUGUGACCAUCAGUCUGAAAGAUAAUAAACAAAAUUCUAAUGAAGAAGCAAAUCUAAGUAAUAAUCAGUGCUGUUCAGAGAAAAUCACUAAAAUUUUAGCUACUGUAGAAUUGAAUCAAUAAAUUGAGUCAACGAAUCAUCCGACCAUACUCUACAUAUAAACUUAUGCAUGUUAA